rnacentral:sRNA from 1 species
UGCCGCUGCCCUUACGGGCGUUUCCUCCCUAGACUUGACACCGCGCUGUGGCAACGCAGUGCGGUUUUUUUUGCCCGCG